UACGGAGGGGGCUAGCGUUGUUCGGAAUUACUGGGCGUAAAGCGCACGUAGGCGGAUAUUUAAGUCAGGGGUGAAAUCCCGGGGCUCAACCCCGGAACUGCCUUUGAUACUGGGUAUCUGGAGGUCGAGAGAGGCGAGUGGAAUUCCGAGUGUAGAGGUGAAAUUCGUAGAUAUUCGGAGGAACACCAGUGGCGAAGGCGGCUCGCUGGCCCGAUACUGACGCUGAGGUGCGAAAGCGUGGGGAGCAAACAGG
rnacentral:rRNA from 1 species